UCACGUCCGCAGGCUGGCCGGCCCCCAGGCUGGGCCGGGGGAGCAUCUCUUCGACAGGUCAACCUCAAGCACGACCGGGAGC
rnacentral:pre_miRNA from 1 species